rnacentral:lncRNA from 1 species
AUAUCGCAUAAAUAAAUUUACUAUUUGGAGAAAUACAAUGAUGAGGGGUUUGAGUAUUGGCAUGUCAUGUUGCCCAAGGACAUAGCCAAGCUGGUCCCUAAAACCCACUUGAAUUGAAUGGAGGAAUCUUGGAGUUCAGCAGAGUAUGAAUCUGAAUGGAGGAAUCUUGGCAUUCAGCAGAGUCAGGGAUGAGUCCAUUAUAUGAACCAUGAACCAGAGCCUCACAUCUUACUAUUCCAGUGCCCGCUACCCAAGAAGCCAGAUGGUAAAUGA